UAUUGGUAUAUUGUAGGGCGAGUCGGCGGAUAUACUUUUGGACGUCAGUAUUCCGGACUCUCCCGAGGAAGUGGAACGCCGCCAGCCACUGUUUCUGGUGGUGGUUGACUGCCCUUCUGGGCUUUGGUGGGUGGAGCAGCCAAAUAUUUAUUAAUUGGAUGGACGUUUCUCUAUCUCUCCUCUAGGUGUCGCUAGGGACAAUAAAUAAGCAAUUAUUCUUUUGUGCAAGAUAUAUG